UAAAUUAUUCUAAACACUAAAAAUUUACCGUAACCGCAUCCCUUAAAUAUUAAAAUCUAAAUUCUAGUCACUUUCAAACUAAAAUAUAAAUAAAUAAAAAGGUCUUUUUAAAUUUUAGUUGAUGAUAUUUUAGAAAUUUUUAUCUAUGUACUAACUUAGGAACAAACAUGUCUUUACUUGUUAUUCUAGUGUAUUUUUCUCUAUUCUAAAACUCUCCGCCUAGACUGAUUACUCUCCCGCGUAUCCGCUAGGCGGUGGUCAUCCGAUUAGUCUUUUCACUAAAAUUAAUUCAUAAAAUAUAUUAUAAUAAUUAAUUUGGUACAGAUUAGUUAAUUUUGGUCUAAAAGUUAGUCCAAAAGUCUAAAAAUAAAAGUUAUACAAUAAUAUUAUAUUUAUAAAAUUAAAUUAAAUAUCAAAAUAAUCCAAAAACUAGUCCAUGUUUAAUUUCCGAUUUUCUGGUUAGACGCUAGCGAAUUCUUGAACCUUGGUAUUUUCUAGUAUAAUAUAACAGAAUAUUUAUUUGCAUCAUAUAUUAAUAUAUAUGCUAGUUUGCACGGAAAAAAUUAUAAGUUAUUAUAAGCAUAAAAAUAAGAAGUCAGUAUAGUUUAUAUAUAUAUCUUUAUAUAUAAAAUAAGCAUUGUAUUUCUCCUGAGGGCUCCACGUCGGAUGCCACGUCGGAAAUUCGUGCAGCCAGAAGCCGACACGUGUCCGGGUAGGCAAAACGCGUGGUUUCAUUUAUUCUAUACUGUCGUGGGCUUUGUACACGUGUUGUGUGUCUGGGCUGUAGAAUUUAAAACUGUCCGGCCCGAUAGAAUUGAUGGAGCCUCUAACCCUAAUACGGCUGCAGACAAGAAACGAAGGUUGUCUCUCCGCUUCCUGCGACGAAGUAAGUGAUUCUUCCUGGUUAAAAGAGAUCAACAAACAGUGAACCAGAGUUCCUGUUGCCGGAGGAAAGUUGUGUUGUCCAGAUUCAGGUCCAGAAAGAUUGAUUCAUUGUUAUUGAUUCAUUGUUGAUUGAUUAAUAUAUUGCAUGUUUCUUUUGUUCUUUCAACUGAGACUUCAACGAAGAAGAAGAAAAAUAAGAGCAAAAGCAACAAGAAGACCCAACAGACUGAUCCACCUACAAUCCAUGUCGUUAAGCUUUUUCCAUCUGGAGAGUUUCCUGAAGGUGAAAUCCACCAGUAUAAGGACGACAAUUUGUGGAGAACAACAUCUGAAGAGAAGAGAGAUUUGGAGCGUUUGGAGAAGCUAAUAUACAACUCUGUACGCCAGACUGCAGAAGUUCAUCGCCAGGUUAGAGAAUAUGUAAGAAGCAUAGCGAAGCCUGGAAUGUUGAUGACUGAUAUAUGCGAGACAUUGGAGGAUACUGUUCGUAAGCUUAUAUCAGAGAAUAGUCAGCUGGUAUUGGGUUGCUGCUCAUUGGAUACCAAACUCCGGAGACAAUACUGUACUUCCAUAUGACGAUGUUAUGAAAGUGGAUUUUGGAACACAUAUUGAUGUGUGAUUAAUGUACUUUCCUCAAACUUACGACCUUCAUGAUGAUUCAUCUAUUCUCUGCACUGAAGAAGAGGUGCAGCUUGGUGUCUGUAAUGGCUGAAGUGGACCGAAUUCUUAGACCACAAGGAACAUUUAUAGUAAGUGAUGACUUGGAAAAGAUAGGAGAAAUUGAGAAGAUGGUGGAAUCACUGAAAUGGAAUGUAAGAAUGACACAUUCCAGAUAUGGUGGAGGAGUGAUCUCUGUUCAGAAGUCAUAGUGGCGUCCUACAGAGAUCGAGACCAUUACAUCGGCGAUAGCAAGUGAAAGAGAAUUGGUUUAAUGUAGUUUUAUGAGAAUGUUUCUUUUAUGUCAUGUUGAUUGUUUACAUUGUAUUAGGCCAAUAUGUGUAUCUUUUUUUGCAUUGACGAAAAUUGUAUACAAGACAUUGUCCCUAUAAUGUAAGCUUUUAUAAGUUUUUGAUUUGGUCCUAAACACCCGUGGAAUAUUUAUACUACUGCAACAAACUUCUAUAGACUGUCUAUUUAAACUAUAGGUAUAUGAUGAGCUCAGUUGACCAAAAAAAAAGGGUAUGUGAUGAGCUCAUGUUAGUUACAUCACCAAAGAACCUCAAUAUAAAAAUAAACUAGAGCAAAAAAAAUUAUUAAAUUAAAAAAAGUGUAACAAAUUUAGAUAUAACUUAUUAAAUUCAAUAACAAAAUGUAGUAAAAAUGUCACUAUAAGAAUAAGAAAUAACUUAUUAAAUUCAAUAACAAAAUGUAGUAAAAAUGUCACUAUAAGAAUAAGAAAUAACUUAUAAAAUAAAGUCAAUGUAAAUUCUUAUACCGAAAAUUAAUCAAUAAAUCUUAUAUUAAAAAUUAUAAUUAGUUAUUCAGAUAUCAUGGUUUUGUUUCGUGUCCAAAUAUAAUAGCAUAUAAGAAAUUCAAAUAAAUACCUAUAUUUUUAAGUAGUAACAAUUGAUAUUAGGUUUUCAUGCUACCUACCUUAAAAUAUUUUUUGUUGUAAAAAAUAACAAACCAAUUUUACAAAAAGUAUAUAUCAAAAAAAAUUCUAUUGUAUAUAACUUACAGAAAAAAUGAUAAAAUAAGUAGUGAAAGUUGUUAUAAAAAUAGUGAAAUAAAUGUCACAUAUAAUUGAAAAUGAAUUAAACAUUUUUUAAAAAUUACAUCAAAGUGGUUUUAAGGGUAAAAUAAGUAUU